UUCAUGAGCUUUUAAUGAAAGUUUAUAUUUAUUAUACAAGUAUUUGAUUCUAUAGGUCAGAAUGACUUAUAAUACUCUGUCUUUUGUUCCUGUAGAAACUCUACGUCUGCCGUCGCUGGCAGUUAUCGACCUGCUGCUCAACAAACACCGUGAGCAGAAGGACAUGCUGAAGCUUGUGGACCAGGACUACGCUGCUCUAGUUCACAACUCCUGCACAGACCCCAACAGCAUGCUCCACCCGACAACAAAACUACAUGUUCUACAAUAUGUAAAGCACCUCAGCAAAUUGUUGAACACCAGUUCCUCUUUAAACGUCAGUCCAGAAAAACUGCAAGAGAGGCAGAAACUCUGUCACUCUCUGACAGAGGCGAGUGAGACUACUAGUGUGCAGGUUGUUACGAUGUCUGUUGCAUUUGUUCACCCACCUCCACCUGUUCAGAUGCUGACACAAGCUUCUAUUGAGAAGAUUGUACCCAACAUCAUGGAAAAGCAGCAGCAACAUAAACAGGAACAACAACAACAACCGGGGCAAAAGAAGGGCUGCACGAAAGACAAAGUUCUUUCAGCUAGAACUGGAUGCCACACAGAAAAGUUCCAUCUAGCAUUUUAAGUCCAAUUAUUUGUAAUAUUCAUGUUGUAAUUAGUUUAUAUAUUGGUUUCUUGCAUUUGUGACUUUGUACAUUGAAAUAUUAUCAUUUUAUUCUUUAUAUUUGGUUUUAAUAUUCAUUAGUUUAAUUAUUUAGAUGUCUUUAUUUCUGUAACAUUUUUGUUUGUAUAGGACUAUACAAAUCGGUUGAUGUAUCUGUGUUCAACAUUUACUGUCCAAGUUAAUAAAUAUAUUUCAAUUACUAAUGUCUACAUGUGUCAUCAAUAAGUGAAUCACUGUAGUGAACAGUAAAAUAAGUUGGUCUGUAAGUACAAUCUAGUGAUAACCAGUAGACAGCAGAUUGGGGUAAACAUUUCCUUUAUUUGUUAUUUGAGAUGGAUAAGGUAGGAUGGAGUGGGAGGUGAAGGAAGGUGUUCUUCCACGUGUCCAGUCUCAGGCACAAUAUUUACUUAAAUGUACAUGAAAUAAAAAUAAGGCAGAAAUGAGGUAAGGGGAAAUGUGCAAAACUGAGCAGAUUGUAAAAAUGAAAAGAUGAAAUGAAAUGUGUGCAAUAUAAAUUAACAGUACAGUUAAUUAAAGCCGACCAAUUAAAAAAAAAAAAACAUUUAAAUAAAUGUACAUGAAAUAAAAAUAAGGCAGAAAUGAGGUAAGGGGAAAUGUGCAAAACUGAGCAGAUUGUAAAAAUGAAAAGAUGAAAUGAAAUGUGUGCAAUAUAAAUUAACAGUAUAGUUAAUUAAAGCCGACCAAUAAAAAAAAAUUAAAAAAACAUAUUUAAAUAAAUGUACAUGAAAUAAAAAUAAGGCAGAAAUGACUUAAGGGAAAUGUGCAAAACUGAGAAGGUUGUAAAAAAAUUAAAUGAAAUCUGUAAUAUAAAUCAACAGUACAGUACAAGUGAAAUCCUGACAAGCGAGUUAGGUUUUAAAGCAGCCAGAGUAUCCCUGUUUUUUUUGUUUUGUUUUUUAGAUCUUUUUUUUUUCAGAAUUUUUUUUUCAGGGUAGAUGGAUGAGGUAGGAUGGAGUGGGAGGUGAAGGAAGGUGUUCUUACAGGUGUCUAGUCUCAGGCACGUUGAUGUUGACGUCCUGGAUAGUCUCCUUUUUCUUCUCUUCUCUCUCCUAUGUCUUUGUCUCCUUGUCCUGGAGCUUGUGCCUCAUUUCGUCCAUCUCCGUCUGCCGGUCUUUUUUUUUUUUUUUUCAGAAUUUCUUUUUUUUCAGGGUAGAUGGAUGAGGUAGGAUGGAGUGGGAGGUGAAGGAAGGUGUUCUUACAGGUGUCUAGUCUCAGGCACGUUGAUGUUGACGUCCUGGAUGGUCUCCUAUUUCUUCUCUUCUCUCUCCUAUUUCUUUGUCUCCUUGUCCGCAAUCUUGUGCCUCAUCUUGUCCAUCUCCGUCUGCCGUUUUUUUCUUUUUCAGAAUAUUUUUUUUUCAGGGUAGAUGGAUGAGGUAGGAUGGAGUGGGAGGUGAAGGAAGGUGUUCUUACAGGUGUCUAGUCUCAGGCACGAUGAUGUUGACGUCCUGGAUUAUCUCCUUUUCUUCUCUCUCCUAUUUCUUUGUCUCCUUGUCCUGCAUCUUGCGCCUCAUUUCGUCCAUCUCCGUCUGCCGGUCUUUUUUUUUUUUUUUUUAAGAAUAGGCAGAUGUUUUCAAGGACUGUUUUGUUGUCCUCUAAUUCUGGGAUCCUGGUGAUAAGGAUCUAAUGUUCUUUGGGGAUGGUAUCCUCUGUUUUUUGGAUCUUAGAGAUCAGGCGCAAUACAGUGAA
ensembl:lncRNA